rnacentral:rRNA from 1 species
CCCCUAGAUGUUCUGGGCCGCACGCGCGCUACACUGAACAGUUCAACAAGUCUUAACCUUGGCCGAUAGGUCUGGGUAAUCUUUGAACGCUGUUCGUGAUUGGGAUAGACCUUUGCAAUUAUGGGUCUUCAACGAGGAAUUCCUAGUAAACGCAAGUCAUCAGCUUGCAUUGAUUACGUCCCUGCCCUUUGUACACACCGCCCGUCGCACCUACCGAUUGAAUGGUCCGGUGAAAUCUCGGGACGGCGGCUUGGUCGCUUGCGUCCGACUGCUGAAACUUAAUUAAACCAUAUCAUUUAGAGGAAGGUGAANUCGUAACA